GGUGCUGUGGCUCAAGUGGUAGAGAGCUAGCCUUGCAUGCAUGAGGUCCUGGGUUUGACUCCUCAGCACCA
rnacentral:tRNA from 1 species